rnacentral:rRNA from 1 species
AUUGAACGCUGGCGGAAUGCUUUACACAUGCAAGUCGAGCGGCAGCGCGGGGGCAACCCUGGCGGCGAGCGGCGAACGGGUGAGUAACAUAUCGGAACGUACCCAGUCGUGGGGGAUAACUAUCCGAAAGGAUAGCUAAUACCGCAUACGUCCUGAGAGAGAAAGCGGGGGAGUCGCAAGACCUUGCGCGAUUGGAGCGGCCGAUAUCGGAUUAGCUAGUUGGUGGGGUAAAGGCUCACCAAGGCGACGAUCCGUAGCGGGUCUGAGAGGACGACCCGCCACACUGGAACUGAGACACGGUCCAGACUCCUACGGGAGGCGGCAGU